rnacentral:misc_RNA from 1 species
GAAAUGCGAUAAGUAGUGUGAAUUGCAGAAUUCAGUGUAUCAUCGAAUCUUUGAACGCACAUUGCGCCCCUCGGUAUUCCGUGGGGCAUGCCUGUUCGAGCGUCAUCUACACCCUCAAGCUCUGCUUGGUGUUGGGCGUCUGUCCCGCCUCCUUCGCGCGCGGACUCGCCCCAAAUCCAUUGGCGGCGGCCCUUGCCUCCCUCUCGCGCAGCACAUUGCGCUUCUCGAGGCGCGGCGGACCGCGUCCAGCAAGCAACCGUCACACCGUCUUUGACCUCGGAUCAGGUAGGGAUACCCGCUGAACUUAAGC